AAUAUUAUUUCAAGCCAAGAUAUUACCAGCUCAUGAGAUAAUUAUCUUGUAUUCUGAGGAAGAUGUCGUUCAUGUUUAAUAAGACAAAAGUGGUCAGUUGUCCGCGAAGCUGGGAUGAAUACUUGGAAGCCGCCUCCAAACUUUGUCCUCAGAUUGACGGGGAGUAUAAUUACAUUUGUAUUCCAAACGAAAACAAAACAGAGCUUGUUCAAUUCUGUUUCAGAAGUGGAAAGUUUCCUGCAUGGCAAUUAGCCGAGCAUUGCCCGUACCUUCACAAUACUGGUAACAUGAAUUCUGAGAAUUGCACAAGUUUUUCAUACGGAUGUCCUAGAAAACAUUACAUGACUAGGGAAAUUU